rnacentral:rRNA from 1 species
AUUGAACGCUGGCGGCAUGCCUUACACAUGCAAGUCGAACGGUAACAGGUCUUCGGAUGCUGACGAGUGGCGGACGGGCGAGUAAUACAUCGGAACGUGCCCGAUCCUGGGGGAUAACGGAGCGAAAGCUUUGCUAAUACCGCAUACGAUCUACGGAUGAAAGCCGGGGACCGCAAGGCCUUGCGCGGACGGAGCGGCCGAUGGCAGAUUAGGUAGUUGGUGGGAUAAAAGCUUACCAAGCCGACGAUCUGUAGCUGGUCUGAGAGGACGACCAGCCACACUGGGACUGAGACACGGCCCAGACUCCUACGGGAGGCAGCAGUGGGGAAUUUUGGACAAUGGGCGAAAGCCUGAUCCAGCCAUGCCGCGUGCAGGAUGAAGGCCUUCGGGUUGUAAACUGCUUUUGUACGGAACGAAAAGACUCUUUCUAAUAAAGAGGGUCCAUGACGGUACCGUAAGAAUAAGCACCGGCUAACUACGUG